rnacentral:rRNA from 1 species
GACGAACGCUGGCGGCGUGCUUAACACAUGCAAGUCGAACGGAAAGGCCCUGCUUUUGUGGGGUGCUCGAGUGGCGAACGGGUGAGUAACACGUGAGUAACCUGCCCUUGACUUUGGGAUAACUUCACGAAACUGGGGCUAAUACCGGAUAGGAGCUCCUGCUGCAUGGUGGGGGUUGGAAAGUUUCGGCGGUUGGGGAUGGACUCGCGGCUUAUCAGCUUGUUGGUGGGGUAGUGGCUUACCAAGGCUUUGACGGGUAGCCGGCCUGAGAGGGUGACCGGCCACAUUGGGACUGAGGUACGGCCCAGACUCCUACGGGAGGCAGCAGUGGGGAAUAUUGCACAAUGGGCGGAAGCCUGAGACAGCAACGCCGCGUGCGGGAUGACGGCCUUCGGGUUGUAAACCGCUUUCGCCUGUGACGAAGCGUAAGUGACGGUAAUGAGUAAAGAAGCACCGGCUAACUACGUG